GUUUGUUUGCAACUCAUCUUUUUUUCUGAAGUUGUUUUGUGGUAAGGCGUACUUAUUGCAUUGCAUGUAAAUGCAAUGGACUAUUAUCGCUGUUCUUAUUAUUCUUCUUCCAACCAAAUUCAACGUUUAAUGCGACUGAAACCGCUGAACCGUCUGACCUCAUUCAAAGACUCCUACAAAGCUCUUGUAACGGACAAUCGUAGAAUCUAUUUUUCAUAUUUGUGAACUUUAUACUUUUUGAGAUAUUUACGAUAAAAGAGCAAUAAAAUCCCAUAGACUUAACAUUGACCGCCGUGGCAGCAACUUUUAGCAUUAUGACGUGACCUGCACCAAUCAACAGCUGGUCCGCUGCAAUCUUUCUAUCACUGAAGCUGUGAAUCUUCUGAACGUUUUGACCUGCCGUGAUACUUUACUUGCUCGUAAAACUCUCCUCCAGAGGCACAUUUCUCUAACUACAGACAAGGGACCAGACCAGACCAGUGUGGUGAUGACCGUGUAUUACAUUAUGUGUGUGGCUGUCUGUGUGCACAUCCUGCCAACCAUACAUCGCUGACAUUAACACUAACAUUAAUUCCUAAAAAACAUGUGACCAUAUCU